rnacentral:misc_RNA from 1 species
GAUGAAGAACGUAGCGAAAUGCGAUAAGUAAUGUGAAUUGCAGAAUUCAGUGAAUCAUCGAAUCUUUGAACGCACAUUGCGCCCGCCAGUAUUCUGGCGGGCAUGCCUGUUCGAGCGUCAUUACAACCCUCAGGCCCCCGGGCCUGGCGUUGGGGAUCGGCGGAGUCCCCCGUGGGCACACGCCGUCCCCCAAAUGCAGUGGCGGUCCCGCCGCAGCUUCCAUCGCGUAGUAGCUAACACCUCGCGACUGGAGAGCGGCGCGGCCACGCCGUAAAACACCCAACUCUUCUGAAGUUGACCUCGAAUCAGGUAGGAAUACCCGCUGAACUUAAGCAUAUCAAUAAGCGGAGGA